rnacentral:rRNA from 1 species
CGCGCAGGUGGUUUCUUAAGUCUGAUGUGAAAGCCCACGGCUCAACCGUGGAGGGUCAUUGGAAACUGGGAGACUUGAGUGCAGAAGAGGAUAGUGGAAUUCCAAGUGUGGCGGUGAAAUGCGUAGAGAUUUGGAGGAACACCAGUGGCGAAGGCGACUGUCUGGUCUGUAACUGACACUGAGGCGCGAAAGCUAGGGUAGCAACG